GAAACUUCCUUAUCAAGAUGGAGCAACACUGAGUCACAAUGGUGCCAUCUACUGGGAAACUAUUGAACUAAGACAUAGUACCAUCAUCAUAUGCAUUUAGUGAAAACAGAAAGCAAUAUACUCUGAUACUCUUUACUUAAAGAAAUGCCAUUAAUUAGUGAUUUUUCUUAUUGAGCGGGGAGUUAAUGAGUAUAGUGUCUUGAGAAGCCAAGUUCCUACCACAGUUUUCUCAUAGUUUUUUUUUUUCUCUCUUUUAAUUUGAUGUUAUUCUCUCUCUGUGUGUGUUAUCUUCCUUUUCACUUGAGCCAGAAAUAAGAGAAAGUAUUUCUUAAAUUACUUUUAAUAAAGCAAAGUUUUAAAUUAAUAGUUAAUCAUUGAAAUUAAUAAUUAAACACAAAUUUCAGUAUAUGGCAAGUUAGAGGAACUGUUUGUAAGGCUAAUAUGCAGUUAUUUCUCGUAGGAAUUUCACUGGCAUUUAAAAAGCCCUUGAUGUCUUAGUUUGUGCUAUACAUAAUAUCAGGUUUGAGUCAGUGAAAUCACCCCCAAGAUUUCACUACUGUUUGUCAAAGGAUUAGCUGACAUUUUAUAUCAAAAGGAAACUAUUCAAUAUAUCCCAUGGUAAACUUAAUUGUUACCCUCAAUAUAUAACAAGACUUUUGGAAUGAGAAUGAGAGCAAUGUGCUGUAUUAUCAGAUUUUUUGGAAAAUAUAACAGAUAUUUAUAUGGGGCUUUCCUGAUAUAUAAACAGAUAUUUAUAUAUAUAUAUGGGUCCUCCUUGGUAAAAAAUAUGCCUGUAAUGUGGGAGACCCGGGUUUGAACUCUAGGUCAGUAAGAUUCCCUGAAAAAAGGAAAGGCAAUCCACUCCAGUAUUCCUGCCAGAAGAAUUCCAUGGAGAGAGGAGUCGGGUGGGCCAAAGUCCAUGGGGUUGCAGAGUCAAACAGGACUGAGCUACAAACACUUUCACUUUUCUUUCAUAAC
rnacentral:lncRNA from 1 species